AGAGGGAGAACACAGCAGACAGGAGACAUUCAAUCCAUGGCAGCCAGAGAGCAAGGCCUAGCCUGGGAACUCCCUGGCACGAGUGGCUGGAGAGAAGUUUCUGAUCCUGAUUUCUCUCAGGGAGCUUGGAAGCUUCAAGUACUGCCCCAGGAAAAGCCUUACCAUAUUGCCC